CGUGCGUCAUAUACACAGCAUUGCUACUUCACAAGUGUUGCAUUAUUUGUUUGUCAAAAUAAAAAAAAUAUGUACUUUGUUUCAUAAAAAAUAGUGCUAUACAUUUUAAAUUUUCAAUAAAUAUUAAAUGUUUCAUAUACAUCUGGACCGCAUUAUGUUUUUUUUUCUAUGUCACAUCUGUAUUUUGAAACCUAAAGUAUCCGUUAUUCACUUUAUAUUUAUGUUUAAUUUUUAUAAUUUUAUUUGAAAAUUUAAUUUUCUAUAUAUUCUACUCAUAUCAAUUCUUAAAACGAUUAAUGAUAUAAAAUAUAUAUUAUUAUAAAGUAGGGUUUUAUCCUUUCUACUUGCGCCACAUGGAAUACCAGCUAAAUAAGUGGUGCUCUGUGAAGCCGACACGAAACUCAGCGUUUCAUUUAAACGUGAUGUUUGUGUUGGGCUUCGUUUUUGUGUCAUUGGGUUAUGGGUUUGAAAGCAAAGCCGGCCCGAUAAUAGUGAUUUCAGUAACCCUAAUAUGACUUCAACGAAAAAACGAAAUCGUCCUUAUUCGACGCGACUGCAAUGCGGUGACUCCUGCGAUUCUUCUAGCGAUCUGAAACGGUGUGAUUAAUGGCUGCAUGAUAAAUAGGUUUGUUGCCUACCAUGAAUCGUCCCACCGCUACGAGAUCCGAAAGGUCUCUCUCUAUCAAGCAUCAACUCCAAUUAUGGCAAAUUUCGAUGACUGCGAUUUCUUCAUGUGGGUCGAAGAGCUUAGAUUGAUGCUUCACCAAUGGUUCGGGCGACUGGAUUUUGUUACACUAAUCCAGGAUCUCAGGCUUCAUCCGUCGAUGAAUCUUGUAUUCAUCGGUCUAUAAAUAAGGAGUCAACAAAAGGUUGUUAGUUGCUAUUGCUAAGAACACGAUACUCAAAAUUGGUAUUGUGAAGGUGGCAGAAGCUCAAUAAGCAUUUGAAAAGGAAUCUCUUUCUAGAGUAGAGAGUGAAGUUAGGGGGGAAUUAGCACAAACACUUCAUGACAACGAGGUUUUGGCGUCGGCGUCAGCGUCGGCGGCGACGGCAGCGUCAAUGAGGACAGUUGUUGUUCGUUUCGCAGACGCUGCCGCUGACGCUGUCGCAUACUAUAUCGCGACCGCAGGUUUUAUCGGCGUCAGCCGCAGGACGCGGCGUUCGGACGCGGCGUUCGGACGCGGCGUUCGGACGCGGCGUUCGGACGCGGCGUUCGGACGCGGCGUCAGACGCAGCUUCCUGCGUCAACUAAACGAACAAGAGUUGACGCAGAAUGUUGACGCUGCCGCUGCCGCUGCCGCCGGUACCUGCGGCAACCAAACGAACAGCCCUUAAUACAAAUUCUUUUGUUCUCUACUUUGUUUUUUCUUACUAUCAUAGCUCUGAAUUCCUUUUCUCACUUCAUGGCAAUGAGGUUAACACACUUGGUAUGCCCAUUUUUUUGCUUCCUCUAUUUUCACGAAAUUCAAUGUGAAUGUUUAUUUAUGACUUCAAAAGAACAAAUUUGUGUUUCUUUCUUUCUUAAAGGAGCAACUUUGAAAGUGCUUCCUCUGUUUUCACGCAGAGAGUUUUCUUCACACUCACUGGCAUGCCGUUAAGUUAGGCUUACGUAUCUUUGUUUUGGUUCAAGUGUUGCACUUACGUGAGCUGAUUUCUCGACAUGCUAUAUCCCUAACACUAAAGUGAUUUUGAGGAAAUAUCUCAUAACUCUCCUGAAGAGGCCAAGAGUAGAAAAGCUGCAAAUUAGCUUCUUCUUUUUUCUGUCUCAAGAUUGGUGUCUUUUAUGGGUAGCUUGACCUGUUUAUUCUUUGGGAUGCGUUUUUUAUGACUUAUUCUAGAGAUUUGUAUAUAUUAGCUACAUAUCUAUGUUAAUUGUUUCAGUUUCCUGGUAAA